rnacentral:lncRNA from 1 species
GGAUACAAGCUGGCCUUCAACUACCUUAAAGCCAAACGAUAUACCGAAGCCAUUGAUAUUUGUAAUUUGGUACUAGCUUCUCAUCCAAAUUAUCCAAAAAUACAGAAAGAAAUCCUUACUAAAGCAAGAUCUAACUGGCGGAUUUAGAAACUUAGCUAUCAUCUUUGUAAAAUUAUCUAGUCUGGAAAUGUUCAUUUCUUCUUAAAAAGUGUUUGUCAAUAAAUCUAGUGUAACAUAUUUUAUA